UGAAGAUUACAAACUUAUUGGUGGGCGGACAUCAAUGUACUGAUUGUCACGUUCUGAUCCU
rnacentral:snoRNA from 1 species